ensembl:lncRNA
GUUGACCAGGGCCCUCUAUAGUCCACGAUAUAAGGAAUAGGGUACCAUGUCGGGAAGCACACCUCGUCCUCGUAAUCAUUAGAAAAUGCAUUAAGUUGAAUAAUGAAUGAAUCCCAGUUAAUAAUAGAGCAGCAACAGAUCAAUUUUAAAAAAAGGAGAAAAUCAAGAGGAAAAAUAAUGUUUUUAGUUUUUUUAGUUGUUUUUUUAAUGCAAAAUUGAAACAGGUAAAACAUGCCUUUUUAUCUGUUAUUAACAUUGUUCUCUGUUCUGCGUGUUCUACGGGUUCCUCGGUUCUACGGGGUAGUUCUUACAGUUCUAUAGAUGGCUAUUAGGUAAUCGACCAAUCAGGAUUUCAAAAGGCACCCUAUUCCCUAUAUAGUGCACUACUUGGGCCACAGACUCUGGUCAUAAGUAGUGCACAAUAUAGGGUACCAUUUAGGAUGCACAGGAGGUGUCACCUUUCAAAAAUAAAGUCCUAAACAGGUGAAUGCAAAUAUCUCUUUAAGACGACAUUAACCUUGUUAUCACCCUGUCCUCUCUCUCUCUCUCCAGGUCUGUUAUCACCCUGUCCUUUCUCUCCAGGUCUGUUAUCACCCUGUCCUCUCUCUCUCUCUCUCUCUCUCUCAGGUCUGUUAUCCCCCUGUCCUCUCUCUCUCCAGGCCUGUUAUCACCCUGUCCUCUCUCUCUCUCUCCAGGUCUGUUAUCACCCUGUCCUCUAUCUCUCCAGGCCUGUUAUCACCCUGUCCUCUCUCUCUCUCUCCAGGUCUGUUAUCACCCUGUCCUCUAUCUCUCCAGGCCUGUUAUCACCCUGUCCUCUAUCUCUCCAGGCCUGUUAUCACCCUGUCCUCUAUCUCUCCAGGCCUGUUAUCACCCUGUCCUCUAUCUCUCCAGGCCUGUUAUCACCCUGUCCUCUAUCUCUCCAGGCCUGUUAUCACCCUGUCCUCUAUCUCUGCAGGCCUGUUAUCACCUUGUCCUCUAUCUCUCCAGGCCUGUUAUCACCCUGUCCUCUAUCUCUCCAGGCCUGUUAUCACCCUGUCCUCUAUUUCUCCAGGCCUGUUAUCACCCUGUCCUCUAUCUCUCCAGGCCUGUUAUCACCCUGUCCUCUAUCUCUCCAGGCCCACAUAACAGGGCUAAGAAGAAGUGAUUUAAAUUGUCUUUAAACGUGCAGUAUAUAAAACAGACAUACUCCCACACCGUGCCAGCCUC